GCGGCGGACGGGUUAGUAACGCGUGGGAACAUACCCCUUUCUACGGAAUAGCCUCGGGAAACUGAGAGUAAUACCGUAUAAGCCCUUCGGGGGAAAGAUUUAUCGGGAAGGGAUUGGCCCGCGUUAGAUUAGAUAGUUGGUGGGGUAAUGGCCUACCAAGUCUACGAUCUAUAGCUGGUUUUAGAGGAUGAUCAGCAACACUGGGACUGAGACACGGCCCAGACUCCUACGGGAGGCAGCAGUGGGGAAUCUUAGACAAUGGGCGCAAGCCUGAUCUAGCCAUGCCGCGUGUGUGAUGAAGGUCUUAGGAUCGUAAAGCACUUUCGCCAGGGAUGAUAAUGACAGUACCUGGUAAAGAAACCCCGGCUAACUCCGUGCCAGCAGCCGCGGUAAUACGGAGGGGGUUAGCGUUGUUCGGAAUUACUGGGCGUAAAGCGUACGUAGGCGGAUCAGAAAGUAGGGGGUGAAAUCCCAGGGCUCAACCCUGGAACUGCCUCCUAAACUCCUGGUCUUGAGUUCGAGAGAGGUGAGUGGAAUUCCAAGUGUAGAGGUGAAAU
rnacentral:rRNA from 1 species